GCGUCAUUAGCUCAAGGGUUAGAGUGCUGGUCUAAUAAACCAGGGGUGAAGAGUUCAAAUCUCUGAUGAGGCU